GCCAGUUGCACUUUAAAGAUAUAUAAAGAAAACCAUGCAUAUAAGUUGUACUUUAAGACACUUUAUGUUUGUAUUUAUUCACUCUGUCCUGUUUUUCAUUGUAAUAUUGUUUAUAUGUUAUACACGUAUUUGCCUAUUGUCACAGUGUAUGCUGUUAGAGUGGUCAAUACAUUCUUAAAUAUAAAGUAAUUGUUAUACAGUGGCAACUAAAUUGUGUAAGCCAAAAGUUAGGUUAGGUAAUAAUGAUUGACUUCUGAGAAAAAGCGAUUUUGAUGAAAAC
rnacentral:lncRNA from 1 species